rnacentral:rRNA from 1 species
UGGGGAAUUUUGGACAAUGGGCGAAAGCCUGAUGCAGCAACGCCGCGUGCGGGAAGAAGGCCCUCGGGUUGUAAACCGCUUUCAGAAGGAACGAAACUGACGGUACUUUCAGAAGAAGGUGCGGCCAACUACGUGCCAGCAGCCGCGGUGACACGUAGGCACCAAGCGUUGUCCGGAUUUAUUGGGCGUAAAGAGCUCGUAGGCGGUUCAGUAAGUCGGGUGUGAAAACUUUGGGCUUAACCCAAAGCGUGCAUCCGAUACUGCUGUGACUUGAGUACGGUAGGGGAGCGGGGAAUUCCUAGUGUAGCGGUGAAAUGCGCAGAUAUUAGGAAGAACACCGGUGGCGAAGGCGGCCCACUGGAUCGGUACUGACGCUGAGGUGCGAAAGCGUGGGGAGCAAACAGGAUUAGAUACCCGGGUAGUCCCUGAGCGGGCUGGCAAGGCGCAU